rnacentral:tRNA from 1 species
GCCUGGGUAGCUCAGUCAGUUGAGCAUCCGACUUCGGCUCAGGUCAUGAUCUCACAGUUCGUGGGUUCAAGCCCCGCAUCGGGCU